UACGGGGGGGGCAAGCGUUGUUCGGAAUUACUGGGCGUAAAGGGUUUGUAGGCGGCCCGCUAAGUCAUACGUGAAAUCCCUCAGCUUAACUGGGGAACUGCGUGUGAGACUGGCAAGCUCGAGUGCAGGAGAGGAAUGCGGAAUUCCAGGUGUAGCGGUGAAAUGCGUAGAUAUCUGGAGGAACACCGGUGGCGAAGGCGGCAUUCUGGACUGCAACUGACACUGAAAGACGAAAGCCAGGGGAGCAAACGGG
rnacentral:rRNA from 1 species